rnacentral:rRNA from 1 species
ACACAUGCAGUCGAGCGGUAACAGAUCCAGCUUGCUGGAUGCUGACGAGCGGCGGACGGGUGAGUAAUGCAUAGGAAUCUGCCCGAUAGUGGGGGAUAACCUGGGGAAACCCAGGCUAAUACCGCAUACGUCCUACGGGAGAAAGGGGGCUCCGGCUCCCGCUAUGGGAUGAGCCUAUGUCGGAUUAGCUAGUUGGUGAGGUAACGGCUCACCAAGGCCACGAUCCGUAGCUGGUCUGAGAGGAUGAUCAGCCACAUCGGGACUGAGACACGGCCCGAACUCCUACGGGAGGCAGCAGUGGGGAAUAUUGGACAAUGGGGGAAACCCUGAUCCAGCCAUGCCGCGUGUGUGAAGAAGGCCCUCGGGUUGUAAAGCACUUUCAGCGAGGAAGAACGCCUAGCGGUUAAUACCCGCUAGGAAAGACAUCACUCGCAGAAGAAGCACCGGCUAACUCCGUGCCAGCAGCCGCGGUAAUACGGAGGGUGCAAGCGUUAAUCGGAAUUACUGGGCGUAAAGCGCGCGUAGGUGGCUUGAUAAGCCGGUUGUGAAAGCCCCGGGCUCAACCUGGGAACGGCAUCCGGAACUGUCAAGCUAGAGUGCAGGAGAGGAAGGUAGAAUUCCCGGUGUAGCGGUGAAAUGCGUAGAGAUCGGGAGGAAUACCAGUGGCGAAGGCGGCCUUCUGGACUGACACUGACACUGAGGUGCGAAAGCGUGGGUAGCAAACAGGAUUAGAUACCCUGGUAGUCCACGCCGUAAACGAUGUCGACCAGCCGUUGGGUGCCUAGCGCACUUUGUGGCGAAGUUAACGCGAUAAGUCGACCGCCUGGGGAGUACGGCCGCAAGGUUAAAACUCAAAUGAAUUGACGGGGGCCCGCACAAGCGGUGGAGCAUGUGGUUUAAUUCGAUGCAACGCGAAGAACCUUACCUACUC